CCAAUCUUAACUCAGUGGUAGAGCGGAGGAUUGGAAAUCCUUAGGUUGCUAGUUUGAAUCCGGCAGGUCGGG
rnacentral:tRNA from 1 species